rnacentral:rRNA from 1 species
AUUGAACGCUGGCGGCAUGCCUUACACAUGCAAGUCGAACGGCAGCACGGGUGCUUGCCCCUGGUGGCGAGUGGCGAACGGGUGAGUAAUACAUCGGAACAUGUCCUGUAGUGGGGGAUAGCCCGGCGAAAGCCGGAUUAAUACCGCAUACGAUCUACGGAUGAAAGCGGGGGCCCUUCGGGCCUCGCGCUAUAGGGUUGGCCGAUAGCUGAUUAGCUAGUUGGUGGGGUAAAGGCCUACCAAGGCGACGAUCAGUAGCUGGUCUGAGAGGACGACCAGCCACACUGGGACUGAGACACGGCCCAGACUCCUACGGGAGGCAGCAGUGGGGAAUUUUGGACAAUGGGCGAAAGCCUGAUCCAGCAAUGCCGCGUGUGUGAAGAAGGCCUUCGGGUUGUAAAGCACUUUUGUCCGGAAAGAAAUCCUUGGCUCUAAUACAGUCGGGGGAUGACGGUACCGGAAGAAUAAGCACCGGCUAACUACGUG